rnacentral:rRNA from 1 species
GAUGAACGCUGGCGGCGUGCCUAAUACAUGCAAGUCGAGCGAACAGACGAGGAGCUUGCUCCUCUGACGUUAGCGGCGGACGGGUGAGUAACACGUGGAUAACCUACCUAUAAGACUGGGAUAACUUCGGGAAACCGGAGCUAAUACCGGAUAAUAUAUUGAACCGCAUGGUUCAAUAGUGAAAGACGGUUUUGCUGUCACUUAUAGAUGGAUCCGCGCCGCAUUAGCUAGUUGGUAAGGUAACGGCUUACCAAGGCAACGAUGCGUAGCCGACCUGAGAGGGGGAUCGGCCAAACCGGAACUGAGACACGGUCCAGACCCCUAAGGGAGGCAGCAGUAGGGAAUCUUCCGCAAUGGGCGAAAGCCUGACGGAGCAACGCCGCGUGAGUGAUGAAGGUCUUCGGAUCGUAAAACUCUGUUAUUAGGGAAGAACAAAUGUGUAAGUAACUAUGCACGUCUUGACGGUACCUAAUCAGAAAGCCACGGCUAACUACGUG